UCCCCUGCACCUCCCUCCUCCCUGGCAGCGGAGCGGGAACUGUUGGAGGGCAAGACCCGGGCGCGGCGCCGCGGCUGCUGCCGAGCGGUAGCGGGGGCUGCGCGGAGUUCGGGGCUCUCCCGCCGCCGCGGCUCUCCCGGGCGGCCCCGGAGUCCGCCGCUCCUCUCCUCGCUCCGCUCCUCUCUCUCCUCCUCUCCCGCCGCCUCCGCCUCCCGCCGCCGCGGACACACCGGCUGGCAGGGAGAGGGAGGAGAAUGAGCGCGGCUCCCGAGGCUGCCUGGGGAAGGGAGGCUGCGGGGUGUGGACUAAACCACUGCGCUCCACACCCACGCGUCCCUCUCUCUCUCCUCCCGGGCUGGGGAGAUGGGGACGGCGAUGCCAGCAGGCAGCCGCAGGGCUGGGAAUCAGGAUCGCUGCCUCCCCUCUACAGUUGGGUGUAGGCGCUCGGCAAUGAGACCCUUGAAAGGAAUAUUCCCCAGGGAUUUCUCUGCUGGCUCGCUCUGUGGAAAAGGAAGGGAAUGUGGCAAAUAAAAUAAAACACAAAACAAAA